rnacentral:rRNA from 1 species
CCUACGGGUGGCAGCAGUCGAGAAUCAUUCACAAUGGGGGCAACCCUGAUGGUGCGACGCCGCGUGGGGGAAUGAAGCUCUUCGGAUUGUAAAUCCCUGUCAUGUGGGAGCAAAUUAAAAAGUUAGUACCACAAGAGGAAGAGACGGCUAACUCUGUGCCAGCAGCCGCGGUAAUACAGAGGUCUCAAGCGUUGUUCGGAAUUACGGGGCGUAAGGCGUGCGUAGGCUGUUUCGUAAGUCGUGUGUGAAAGGCGCGGGCUCAACCCGCGGACGGCACAUGAUACUGGGAGACUAGAGUAAUGGAGGGGGAACCGGAAUUCUCGGUGUAGCAGUGAAAUGCGUAGAUAUCGAGAGGAACACUCGUGGCGAAGGCGGGUUCCUGGACAUUAACUGACGCUGAGGCACGAAGGCCAGGGGAGCGAACGGGAUUAGAUACCCUUGUAGUC